CCUACGGGAGGCUGCAGUGAGGAAUAUUGGUCAAUGGACGAGAGUCUGAACCAGCCAAGCAGCGUGAAGGAUUACUGCCCUAUGGGUUGUAAACUUCUUUUAUAAAGGAAUAAAACGAGGCACGUGUGCCUUUUUGCAUGUACUUUAUGAAUACGGAUCGGCUAACUCCGGUCCAGCAGCCGAGGUAAUAAGGAGGCGCCGAGCGUUAUCCGGAAUCAUUGGGUUUAAAGGGAGCGUAGGUGGGUUGUUAAGUCAGGUGUGAAAGUUUGAGGCUCAAACGGAAAAUUGCAAUUGAUACUGGGAGUCUUGAGUACAGGUGAGGUAGGCGGAAUUCGUGGUGUAGCAGUGAAAUACUUAGAUAUCACGAAGAACCCCGAUUGCGAAGGCAGCUUACUAAACUGUGACUGACGUUGAUGCUCGAAGGUGUGGGGAUCAAACAGGAUUAGAUACCCGAGUAGUC
rnacentral:rRNA from 1 species